GUGCUUGUUUGAACAGCACCUAUACUAAAACCGGAACAAUACAGAGAAGAUUUGCAUGGCCCCCCGGCAAGGAUGACACUCAAAUUUGUAAAGCACCCCAUAUUUCC
ensembl:snRNA U6 U6 spliceosomal RNA